rnacentral:rRNA from 1 species
AUUGAACGCUGGCGGCAGGCCUAACACAUGCAAGUCGAACGGUAACAUGAGAAAGCUUGCUUUCUUGAUGACGAGUGGCGGACGGGUGAGUAAUGUAUGGGGAUCUGCCUGAUGGAGGGGGAUAACUACUGGAAACGGUAGCUAAUACCGCGUAAUGUCGCAAGACCAAAGUGGGGGACCUUCGGGCCUCACGCCAUCAGAUGAACCCAUAUGGGAUUAGCUAGUAGGUGGGGUAAAGGCUCACCUAGGCGACGAUCUCUAACUGGUCUGAGAGGAUGACCAGUCACACUGGGACUGAGACACGGCCCAGACUCCUACGGGAGGCAGCAGUGGGGAAUACUGCACAAUGGAGGGAACUCUGAUGCAGCGACGCCGCGUGAAUGAUGAAGGCUUUCGAGUCGUAAAAUUCUGUCCUUAGGGAAGAUAAUGACGGUACCUAAGGAGGAAG